GUUGGCUGGUGGGGAUGUCAUGAAGCGUUCUGCUUCGGACCUGGGAAGGUUCGGGAUAAACAGAAUGUCAGGCCGCAUCCUGUUGAGGUCUGCGGCGGGCACUUGUGGGCAGAGCCAUGACGGCGGCCGCAUGCCCGCACAAUACUCAGGCAGUUCAGCUCGGGAGGUGGCAUCCAUUAUCAUGUAGCCACCACCGUUGUGACCAUG
rnacentral:lncRNA from 1 species